rnacentral:misc_RNA from 1 species
UCCCCGUUUCACAGGGCAGUCUGUUUAGAGUGCCCACCGAUUCACAUCGGCGGUUGCAACUAAACACAGGGGUUGCGCUCGUUACCGGACUUAACCGAACACCUCACGGCACGAGCUGACGACAGCCAUGCAGCACCUGUGCACGCUGGUAUUGCUACCUCGUUAGGCUUUCACCCUUCUACUACGUGCAUGUCAAGGCCAGGUAAGGUUCUUCGCGUUGCAUCGAAUUAAGCCACAUGCUCCACCGCUUGUGCGGGCCCCCGUCAAUUUCUUUGAGUUUUAAUCUUGCGACCGUACUCCCCAGGCGGCUCACUUAAUGCGUUAGCUUCGGCACGGAAGGGGUCGAUUCCCUCCCACACCAAGUGAGCACCGUUUAGGGCUAGGACUAC